rnacentral:rRNA from 1 species
GAUGAACGCUGGCGGCGUGCCUAAUACAUGCAAGUCGAGCGAACAGACGAGGAGCUUGCUCCUCUGACGUUAGCGGCGGACGGGUGAGUAACACGUGGAUAACCUACCUAUAAGACUGGGAUAACUUCGGGAAACCGGAGCUAAUACCGGAUAAUAUAUUGAACCGCAUGGUUCAUUAGUGAAAGACGGUUUUGCUGUCACUUAUAGAUGGAUCCGCGCCGCAUUAGCUAGUUGGUAAGGUAACGGCUUACCAAGGCAACGAUGCGUAGCCGACCUGAGAGGGUGAUCGGCCACACUGGAACUGAGACACGGUCCAGACUCCUACGGGAGGCAGCAGUAGGGAAUCUUCCGCAAUGGGCGAAAGCUUGACGGAGCAACGCCGCGUGAGUGAUGAAGGUCUUCGGAUCGUAAAACUCUGUUAUUAGGGAAGAACAAAUGUGUAAGUAACUAUGCACGUCUUGACGGUACCUAAACAGAAAGCCACGGCUAACUACGUG